GCCGGCAGCUACCUCUCUGUAACUCUUUCAUGGUCGCCCACUGAAGCUUAGCAGGGUUGCGCCUGGUCAGUACCUGGAUGGGAGACCACAUGGGAAAGCUAAGUUGUGGCUGGAA
ensembl:rRNA 5S_rRNA 5S ribosomal RNA